UCCAGAACGCCGGGGUGCCCCACCGAAAGGGGCUGAGAUCAAACUCGUCGAACCUGAUGCAGUUCGCACUGACGAAGGGAGCGCCAUGAACGUCGCG
rnacentral:ncRNA from 2 species